rnacentral:lncRNA from 1 species
UGUUUUGGGAGGCUAUGGAGGGGAGGAUCACUUGAGACCAGGGGUUCGAGACCAGCCUGGGAAACAUGGCAAAACCCCGUCUCUACAAAAAAUUUUUAAAAACCUGGUGAGUGUGGUGGCACGCACCUGUUGUCCCAAGUAGCUGGGACUACACUUGUAGCUGGGACUACAAGUGCGCUUCAUUACGUCUGGCUAAUUUUUUAAUUUCUGUAGAGAAAGAGGUCUUGCUAUGUUGCUCAGGCUGGUCUCAAACUCCUGGGCUCAAGUGAUCCUCCUGCCUCAGCCUUCCAAAGUGCUGAGAUUGUGCCUGGCUGUCUCUGUCUUCUUUGGGGAAAAGCAAGGCCAAUGUAGCUGAAGCAGAGAGGAGAGAAAGGUGAGGGCUGACUGCAUGGAGCCUCUGUGGGGCAUUGUGAUGGCUUUGAAGUCACCUUGCUUGAGGAGGCUGCCUCAGGGCCUUUGCAUAUCCUGAUCCUUCUGCCUGGCAUACUUUUCCCUCUGUUCUUUGCCAUGUUACCACAUCCUUUAGAUCUCAAACCAAAUAUUACUCCUUACACAAAGCCCUGCCUAACUUCAUACGCUCAUGGUUUAUAACACUCCAUAAUUACACAGGCCUUUGUGUCAUAAUUUGAUGACUGUCUGUCUUCUCCUUUGGGUAUGAGACCUUCAAGGGCAGGGGCCAGGGCUGUCUGGGUCCCUGCUGUUCUCUUCUUUGUGCACAUGGGUGGGCGGUGGCUAAGCACAGAGGAAGUUCUCAGCACAUAUUUGUGAAUGAGGAGCUAAGAUUCACGCACUCGCACUGUGCCUAGCUUUGUGCUAAAUCCUCUAUGCACCUGAUCCAAUUGGCGCUUCUCACUGGAGUGUCGGUCCCAUAAGGGCAGGGAGAUUCAUCCAUCC